AUGCUCACUUCAAUAGAACAUGUACUAGAAUUCAAAACAACAUGGAGAAGAUUAGUCUGGCCCCUGUGCAAGAAUGACAUGCACAUUUGGAAACUGCUCGAUAUUUUU
ensembl:snRNA U6 U6 spliceosomal RNA